rnacentral:rRNA from 1 species
UACGGGGGGAGCAAGCGUUGUUCGGAUUUACUGGGCGUAAAGGGCGCGUAGGCGGCCAGCACAAGUCAGUUGUGAAAUCUCCGGGCUUAACUCGGAAAGGUCAACUGAUACUGUGCGGCUAGAGUGCAGAAGGGGCAACUGGAAUUCUCGGUGUAGCGGUGAAAUGCGCAGAUAGUCAGGAAGAACACCCGUGGCGAAGGCGGCUCUCUGGGACGGUACUGACGCUGAGACGCGAAAGCGUGGGGAGCGAACAGG